rnacentral:rRNA from 1 species
UUCCAGACUCCUACGGGAGGCAGCAGUGGGGAAUAUUGCACAAUGGGGGAAACCCUGAUGCAGCGACGCCGCGUGAGUGAAGAAGUAUUUCGGUAUGUAAAGCUCUAUCAGCAGGGAAGAUAAUGACGGUACCUGAGUAAGAAGCCCCGGCUAACUACGUGCCAGCAGCCGCGGUAAUACGUAGGGGGCAAGCGUUAUCCGGAUUUACUGGGUGUAAAGGGAGCGUAGACGGCAUGGCAAGUCUGAAGUGAAAGCCCGGGGCUCAACCGCGGGACUGCUUUGGAAACUGUUAAGCUGGAGUGCAGGAGAGGUAAGUGGAAUUCCUAGUGUAGCGGUGAAAUGCGUAGAUAUUAGGAGGAACACCAGUGGCGAAGGCGGCUUACUGGACUGUAACUGACGUUGAGGCUCGAAAGCGUGGGGAGCAAACAGGAUUAGAUACCCCGGUAGA